UACGGAGGUGGCAAGCGUUGCUCGGAAUCACUGGGCGUAAAGGGCGCGUAGGCGGGGAGGUAAGUCGGGUGUGAAAUCCCUCGGCCCAACCGAGGAACUGCGCCCGAGACUGCUUCUCUUGAGUCCCGGAGAGGAAGAUGGAAUUCCCGGUGUAGCGGUGAAAUGUGUAGAGAUCGGGAGGAACACCGGUGGCGAAGGCGGUCUUCUGGACGGUGACUGACGCUGAAGCGCGAAAGCGUGGGGAGCAAACGGG
rnacentral:rRNA from 1 species